AAACUUUCAACAACGGAUCUCUUGGUUCUGGCAUCGAUGAAGAACGCAGCGAAAUGCGAUAAGUAGUGUGAAUUGCAGAAUUCAGUGAAUCAUCGAAUCUUUGAACGCACAUUGCGCCCCUUGGUAUCCCGAGGGGCAUG
rnacentral:rRNA from 1 species